rnacentral:rRNA from 1 species
GACGAACGCUGGCGGCGUGCUUGACACAUGCAAGUCGAACGGAAAGGCCUGCUUUCCCUUGUGGAUUGCGGGUACUCGAGUGGCGAACGGGUGAGUAACGCGUGAGUGAUCUGCCCCCAACUUGGGUAUAAGCCUGGGAAACUGGGUCUAAUUCCCGAUAGGACUGCAGGGUGGUGCCUGUGGUGGAAAACGAUUUUCUAGUGGUUGGGGAUGAGCUCGCGGCCUAUCAGCUUGUUGGUGGGGUAAUGGCCUACCAAGGCGGCGACGGGUAGCCGGCCUGAGAGGGUGGACGGCCACAUUGGGACUGAGAUACGGCCCAGACUCCUACGGGAGGCAGCAGUGGGGAAUAUUGCACAAUGGGCGGAAGCCUGAUGCAGCGACGCCGCGUGGGGGAUGACGGCCUUCGGGUUGUAAACUCCUUUCGACCGCGAGGAAGCCACCUGGUUGGAAGGGUGGUGACGGUAGUGGUAGAAGAAGCACCGGCUAACUACGUG